AUUUGAGGCACAACUUUUACUGGAGUUCAGACGUGUUAUCUUAUCUUUUUGUGCUUUUAAAAAGAGUAAUUAAAAAAAUAAAAAAAGAAAAACAGGAUAUUUUCAGAAGCAUCUGAACUGCUUGCGAAAACCAUUCUCCUCCUAAAAUGUAAGAGACAACGAGGGGGAAGAGAAAGGCAGAGGAGGGAGGGAAAGAUGAACAAGGCAGGGUGAUGAAAGGCAUUCUAGUAAAGGGAAUGACAUGUCAGCAGGUAUCUAGGGCUCUUGUGGAAAGUGUGAUUUCAUUCUUGGCAAUGCAAGUACCACCUACCACAGGCUGGUGACAUCUGGAAAAGGGAAGGCAACAUUGAAAAGAAGUUUUGUUUGGGGGCGAUUUGCUGCAGCAGGUAAGGAUUGUGCUGGUCUGCUUCAAGAGGCUGGGAAAUCCCCACCCCCAGUGCUGGAGAGGGGCUUGGAACCAUCACCCAGGAUUAGCUAGAAAUGAGUAGUUUGACAAAAGCAGAAAAGC